rnacentral:ncRNA from 1 species
UAUGAGGUAGGCGGGUUAUUAUUUAACUUUAUAUUUUAUUUUUAUAGUAUUUUCAUUUUAUUAGAUCCGUUAAAAAUUCUACUAAAUUAAAUUUUAGUUAGUACGUUGGGUUAUUUUUUUUAUGUUAUUGUGUUAUUUUUUUUUUUAUAAAGUUUAAUUCUGACUUUGAGAUUUAUUAUAAAUUUUAUUUAGUAUAUAAAUUUUUGUGUUAUUCAUUUAUUUUUAAAUAAAAUAAUUGAUUUUUUAAUUUAGUAUAUAAAAUUAUAUUUAAAUAAAAAUAGUUUUUUUUAUAGAAUUAUAUUUAUUUAAGAUGGAACAAGCUUGUGCCAGCAUUCGCGGUUAGACAGGCUAAUCUAAGUAAAUUUUUUAAACUUUAAAGAUAUUAAUAGUUAUUUGUUUUAUUUAGUAAAUUUAAUUAAAUUAAGGUGAAAUUUUAUUAAUUUUUAUAUUAAAUAUUAUAUUAUUAUUUAAUAAUAUUUUUUGAAAGUUUAUUUGUAGACUAGGAUUAGAUACCCUAUUAUUUAAAUUGUAAAUUUUAUUGUUGUUUAUUAUUUAUUUUUAUUUUAUUUUAUUUUAUUAAUUAGGUUGGUUAGGUAGUAUUAGUUAUGGUCUUGAAACUUUAAGAAUUUGACGGUAAUUCAUUCAUUUUAGAGGAACUUGUUUUUUAAUUGAUGGUCCACGAUAUUAUCUACCUAAUUUAUUUGUUUGUAUACCGUCGUUUUAAAAGAAUUUUUUAAGGAUAUUAAUUUUUAAAAUAUAAUUAUUUAAUGAAAUUGUUAUAGAAAUUCAGAUCAAGGUGCAGCUUUUUAUUUAGGUUAAAAUGAGUUACAAUAAAUUUAAUUUAUACGGAUUUUAAAUAUUAAAAAUUUAAAUAAAGGCGGAUUUAAAAGUAAAUUUAAAUAAUUAUUUAAUUUGAUAGUUGUUUUGAAUUAUGUACAUAUCGCCCGUCGCUCUCGUCAUAAGAUGAGAUAAGUCGUAACAAAGUAAAAGUACUGGAAAGUGUUUUUAGAAUAAUGAUUUAC